rnacentral:lncRNA from 1 species
GACAGAGUCAUCCUGCAACUGAAGCAACAGAGGGACAAGCUGAGGCAGGACCAGAAGAGGGCCAGGCAACAGCUAAAGAGGAAGAAAGAAUGGGCCAAGCUGCUGCCCCAAAAGAGGACAGAAAACCAGAUCAGCAGCCUGGAAGCCAUGGUUCAGAGCAUCAAGUUCACGCAGAUCGAGAUGAAGGUGAUGGAGGAGCUUCAGGUGGGGGACGAAUGUCUAAAUAAGAUGCACCAGGUGAUGUCCAAAGAGGAGGUGGAGAGGAUCCUGGAGGAGACCCAAGAGGCAGUGGAGUACCAGGGGCAAACUGAUGAGCUGCUGGCAGAAAGCUUCACCCAGGAGGACGAGGAUGCCAUCCUGGGAGAGCUGAAAACAAUCACUCUGGAACAAAUCGAGUUACAAGAGGUUCCUUCGGAGCCCCUCCCUGAUGUUAACCCAAAAGCCCCUGCC